rnacentral:lncRNA from 1 species
AGCUACUACUUUGACUGCUACUGAAGACAUUUUGAAAUCAGCAUAUCAAUCUGAGCCAAGUCCAAAACGCCGCCGCUAUCAUAACCCAUCAUAUAAGCCUAUAAAUGUAUUAUGUACCUCCAUUAGUCAUGAGGAAAGCAGUGAGCAGGAUGUGAGAAAUGGUAUGCCUACUCCUAGUACUACAGCUUCUGUAGAUUGUCACGAGCUAAAGUACAAAGAGCAUCAGGCUGCAUCUGCCAUGGGAGGAAGAUUUGUGGACAGCAGUUCAACUAUGUUGAAUGAUUCGACGGACAAAUCGCCAAUCUUUUCACCUAGUGAUGACAGAAUAACUUCUAGUGUUCCAGAGUUGGCUUACAUUUGGCAGUAAUAUUUCUACCUCUCUAUCUCAUAUAUAUUUUGAUGCUUAUUCUAGAUAAACUUGAUUGCUACAGAGACCUGCCAUCACCAUUGAACUAAUAAACCUAACAGGUGUAGUCAGGCCAUCUUCAAAAGCAACUUUUGUGGAAACACCCUUUAGGUGAAAUCCAUGAGAUUGAAACAGAUGGAUGUCUACAAAUAUCAUAAGAUGUCCGAACGUUUUUGACAAAAUUGACACAAGAUGCUUUUCGUAUGUCACAAAUUCCAAACCAAAAUUUGAUUGGCACUUGAAAAAAAGACAAAUUUUCUCUAUGAAUAGUUACUCCCUCCGACCCUGAAGAUAGGGCGUACAAGGCAAGGUCCAGCUGUUGUUUUCUUGCCCAUACUACCCCUAAUAAUGCUUAGAUGAAUAUUUAAUGUCAUGGGUGCAUGCACCAUGCAUGGCCUGCAGUACCAGGUCGCUCGGUUUGAUUGGUCAGAUGGAGCCCUCGCAAAGGGGUAUUUGGGGGAGAUAGUCCAAAAAACUGCAUGCACGCCCUCCUUUUAGCAUUUUCUGGUAGAAAGAUACAUGCCUUGUUUUCAUGAUUGGAGGGAGUAACUCUCAUUCUUUUGUUUAUAAUGAGCAACAAAAAAAAAAUCUUCUUUUUGUCGCUUUGCGUGGAUCGAAUUCGGACUUGAAGUUACAGGAUAGAUGCAUCUUGUCUGAAUGUUGUCAAUUUUUAUCAGUACUCUGGUUACUCUUUGGACCACCAGAUGCAGAUCUGAUGUAUCACGCCCAAAGGGGUGAUUCAUACAAAUUGCUCCCCACAUCUUCAUGUUUCAUACUUGGUUUUGUAUCAUCUCAUGUGUGCUUGAUAGUUGCAACUAUCCAUGACUGCAACAACUUGUAUUUAAGUAAUUGUUUUCAUCAUAUGUGUUAAAAUUUAUUUUAGUUACUUAUCUUUGAACAGAGGUUGUUUUGAAAUAUGGAGGACUGGACGGUCAUCUAAGUUUUGUAAGGGCUUGCAAGGACACUUAUCAUGUUCUGCUUCACAAAAGGUUUUGGAAAUAGCAAAGAAAUUCCCUUCUAAAAUCCGGCUUGAGCAACUUCCUCGCCGGAAUAUAUGGCCCCCACAGUUCCAUGGAAAUGGCCUUUCGUAUGACAGUAUUGGUCUUUUUUUCUUUGCACAAGAUAUCCAGAGGUAUUUCACUUGAAGCUUUUCUCUUUCAUUAUUAUACUUCAAUUGUUCGAAAAGGAUAUUAGUUGAACUGCACACAAACUUAUAAUUUAAAUUGCUUAUAUUUUUGCCUACAGUUAUGAGAGGCAUUACAGUAAGUUAGUAGAAUGGAUGCUGAAAGGCGAUUUGGCACUCAGAGGAAACAUUGAAACAGCUGAAUUGCUCAUAUUUCCUUCCAAUAUCCUGCCAAAAAGCUUUCAAAGUAAGAAGUCGCUCACCUAUUCAAGUGAUGCUUUUAUCUGAUCACAGUUUUACGCUGAUAGAUCUUACUUUUCCUUAUUCUGCUUCAGGAUGGAACAUGUCCUAUUAUCUAUGGGGUGUAUUUAGAGUCAGAAGAAAAGAUUCUAACCUUCCAUAUCAUGUACCUACAAGAAAACAUUGUAAUUUCAAUGGAAAUCUCUUGGCCGUGGGUCGAAGAACUCAUGCCCACGCUUCUUCUGGCCCCAGUUUCUAUUACUCACCUACUUGUGAAGACUCUCCAUCUAUCAUGCCCUUGGAAGCUAAUCAUGAGGGUUGCCCCAAUGGUGAGAAUUCUCUAGGUUAGCCUUUCUGUGGACGACCUUUAGAAGAUCAGCAUCAUGAUUCAGUUACAGCUAGCUUAUCAACAAAUAACAAUAGCGCUAUUAAUGAAUUUGUCACAGCUCCAACAAGAAAAAAGCAGGUGGGUGUUAUAAUUUAAUUUGACGUGUUCCAUUUUUUUCCUUCCAAGUGUUUUUUUAAAAAAUCAAUCACUUUACUGGAUGCAUUUGAUUAAAGAAUAAGAUGACACCUGCCAUUGUGUGUGUGGAUGUCAUGCUUGCCUGUUUACGCCAUCUUGGCUAUUGGCCUUUGCCUGCUACACAUUUGUUUUAUAAAAAUAUUAAAAUAUGAUUGCUUGUAUCAACUUAAAUGUUUACUCUUGGCUAUACGUAUGCGGAAACAUGUUUAUUCAGAACAUUAAGACAAUGCGGGAGUGUUAUCAUAACAGUCAGUGGACAUUUGUUUCAUUUUUCUUGAUUUUCAUUGUCUAAUUUAUCUUGUUGAAAAAACAGGGAAAGAGAGGACAGCCGUCAACCAUGACAAUGCAGAGGACCUGUUGCGACCCAGUGUAGUUGACCUACAACGGCGACCGCAAUCAGUAUGUCGCUAAUUGAUAUCAUACGAACAUCCACACAGACCAAUCACGCACUUACAUUGCUGGGACCAGAUUGGUAUACAUGCAUAUAUACGUGUGUAUGAAGGAAUUCUUUGCGAAGUUUGGGUACGCUUAAUAUGAGCGCUGAGCGGAACAUGUUGCUUCUUCCCUUCUCGCCAACGAAAGCGGGAGCUCACCUAGGCGGAGUGCGCAAGCUGUAAGUGGGUGAAGCAGCACAAAGGUUGUAGAGGAGCAACUUCACUUUGCUGCUACAAUAUGUACUAACACAAGUGUUGAAGGAACAACUUUAACGUGCCGUGCUAAAUAUUGCUCUAGAGGCGAAUGUAGGCUGAUAUGGCAGCAAGAGUUCAAUCCAGAACUCCUAGAGCAUAAAAUCUACUUCAA